UGGCAAAAUAUCAUAUGUGGCCUUUUAUUGCUGCCAUUUUGUCCAUUAUCAGUUCCGUUUUUUAUAAUUAUUUAACAUUUAGAAAGCAGAGUAGGCUGAGCAAGUCAGUUGAGGAUCUUAAAUCGCAUUCUGGGAGUGGAAUGCCCAAAAAGAAGAAAAGUAAGAGAUCAGGAAACAAUAGGAACAGUCCCAAUGAUGAGAGAAGGGAGAAAUAUCUCCCUCGUGAGAAUAAAGCUGGAAACAGCACUGGAGGUUCACUCAUGGAAGAGAAUUGCGGGCGCAGGAUUGGUAAGUUACUUGUUUCUAACAAAGAAAUUGCUAAGGGGAGUAAUGGUACAGUUGUGCUUGAGGGA
rnacentral:misc_RNA from 1 species